rnacentral:rRNA from 1 species
CCUACGGGAGGCAGCAGUGGGGAAUUUUGGACAAUGGGCGAAAGCCUGAUCCAGCCAUUCCGCGUGCAGGAUGAAGGCCCUCGGGUUGUAAACUGCUUUUGUACAGAACGAAAAAGCUCUGGCUAAUACCUGGAGUCCAUGACGGUACUGUAAGAAUAAGCACCGGCUAACUACGUGCCAGCAGCCGCGGUAAUACGUAGGGUGCAAGCGUUAAUCGGAAUUACUGGGCGUAAAGCGUGCGCAGGCGGUUUUGUAAGACAGAGGUGAAAUCCCCGGGCUCAACCUGGGAACUGCCUUUGUGACUGCAAGGCUGGAGUGCGGCAGAGGGGGAUGGAAUUCCGCGUGUAGCAGUGAAAUGCGUAGAUAUGCGGAGGAACACCGAUGGCGAAGGCAAUCCCCUGGGCCUGCACUGACGCUCAUGCACGAAAGCGUGGGGAGCAAACAGGAUUAGAUACCCUGGUAGUCCACGCCCUAAACGAUGUCAACUGGUUGUUGGGUCUUGACUGACUCAGUAACGAAGCUAACGCGUGAAGUUGACCGCCUGGGGAGUACGGCCGCAAGGUUGAAACUCAAAUGAAUUGACGG